AAGGGACAGACCUGGGUCGGUGUGGUCCCCUCACCCAGGUGUCCAGGAGACCCCACGGGACACUUUCGGCUGGGAGCCGGGGACUGCAGAAGAAUGACAAGUGGGCCCCCAGAGGAGAGAGGCUGCGGUGUAGGAGGGGAGCCAAGGCUGGAGUGGGCAGCAGGGAGCCUUCGAGAGGCCGUGCCUGUGUCCCCAGAGGGGGGAGGUGGCCCCAGCCACACUCAGGCCUCUCCAGGAACCAGCGUUCACACUCCACCAGCUGCCGGAGGACCGGCUGCAGCCCCGUGGGGCAAAAGGCUGACCUCCGCCCCGCAGGCUUCUCGCCUAAACCUUGCGGGACGGGGAGACCUGGCGCCGAGCUCAUUCUGGCCAGAACGCCUCUCCCUAUGGGUUCCAGUGGCAGUAUUUUGCAACAUACAAUGACUGUAAGCCUGUCUCUUGCCUCUGCACACGCAGAAGUGCACAGAGACUCUGCCAGGGGUUCCGCCAGCAGAGAGGAACGAUUUCCUUGCCGAGUAUGUUUUCGAGGGACAGCGGAGAGCACACGCUGAACUCCA